AUAAAGGAUGCCAAUGAGUGUCUUAUCUACCAGCUACCAUGUUCAUUUAUAAUUACAGAUAUUAAUACACAAUCAAAAUGGCGAACAAAAAACAGAGUUCUAUAAAAAGAGUGUAACGAUGUAUAAUUUUCCAAAGAGCUUGGAAAAAUGCCCAGUACACUGAGAGUAUAGAAUGAGGAUGUUGUUACUGCCAGAUUGUUAUUUAUAUUUUUUCUUUCUCCUCUUCCCCGUUCGUGAUUGUUUACUUGACUCCGAAAGGCGAGUGAGUAAAACCGGAUGGGGAAGAGUCCGAUCUGCUUCAGACCAAUGAAAACACGACGUAGGAAGAGUUGGAUCAGAUCCAGCCCCACCCCCUGGACUUGUGGUUCUGCAGCGAGGUGUACUUGCCCUAGACCCCAAAACCAACCGUCGCGCACACCCCAAACGUGUGAUCACGUUUAGAGUGUAAAUGAAUCUAGAUGAUAUUUACCUUGGUGCCCCUGCGCAUCAGCCCAGUUCAACCCGUGCGGUUUCUCGUAGCACUUGGCGCGCGGAUUCCUCAAACAUUACAACUGUCAGCUAUCCUGAAACCUUUGAAGUUUGUAGGUGAAGUGUUGUCGCCGCUGCCAACUAAAUGACCCCAUGAAGACGGGGACACCAGUGUUACAUUCUAUUAAGGUGAAGGCUGCAUGGGAGGUGAUUGGCCUGGAUUUAAUUGGCCCACUGCGAGAAACUGGUCAAAAAAACAAGUAUGUGUUGACCAUGACUGAUUUAUAUACAAAGUGGGUUGUUGCUGAGCCACUGCAAAAUAAGACUGCAACUGAAGUGUCAGCAGCCAUCAUAAAGACACUCUACUUGUUCGGCAUGGUCAAGAAAAUUAUUACUGACCAAGGGAGAGAGUU